UACAGAGGUCUCAAGCGUUGUUCGGAUUCAUUGGGCGUAAAGGGUGCGUAGGCGGCGCGGUAAGUCGGGUGUGAAAUCUCGGAGCUUAACUCCGAAACUGCAUUCGAUACUGCGGUGCUUGAGGACUGGAGAGGAGACUGGAAUUCAUGGUGUAGCAGUGAAAAUGCGUAGAGAUCAUGAGGAAGACCAGUGGCGAAGGCGGGUCUCUGGACAGUUCCUGACACUGAGACACGAAGGCCAGGGGAGCAAACCGG
rnacentral:rRNA from 1 species